UGGGGGAAUAUUGGGGCAAUGGGCGCAAGCCUGACCCAGCAACGCCGCGUGAAGGAAGAAGGCUUUCGGGUUGUAAACUUCUUUUACCAGGGACGAAGAAAGUGACGGUACCUGGAGAAUAAGCCACGGCUAACUACGUGCCAGCAGCCGCGGUAAUACGUAGGUGGCAAGCGUUGUCCGGAUUUACUGGGUGUAAAGGGCGCGUAGGCGGGAGUGCAAGUCAGAUGUGAAAUCUAUGGGCUUAACCCAUAAACUGCAUUUGAAACUGUACUUCUUGAGUGAUGGAGAGGCAAGCGGAAUUCCUAGUGUAGCGGUGAAAUGCGUAGAUAUUAGGAGGAACACCAGUGGCGAAGGCGGCUUGCUGGACAUUAACUGACGCUGAGGCGCGAAAGCGU
rnacentral:rRNA from 1 species